ensembl:snoRNA
UGGUCAUUACUAAGGCUUUGAGAGUGUAGUUUCUCAUUUGCUGUGGACAAGACCAUAACAAAAAAUUUCCCACUAGGUUUUUUUUCUACCUGCUACUUUGCUAGCAUUCAGCCUAUUGGGAACAUUU